GAUGAACGCUAGCGGCAGGCUUAAUACAUGCAAGACGAACGGUAAGUGUUGUAGCAAUAUAGCACGAGAGUGUCGUACGGGUGCGUAACACGUAUGCAACCUACCUUGUACAGGAGGAUAGCUCGGGGAAACUCGAAUUAACCCUCCAUAAUAUAUUUGAAUGGCAUCAUUUGAAUAUUAAAACCUUGGUGGUACAAGAUGGGCAUGCGUCUGAUUAGUUAGUUGGAGUGUAAUGGACUACCAAGACGAUGAUCAGUAGGGGACCUGAGAGGGUGAUCCCCCACACUGGC
rnacentral:rRNA from 1 species